rnacentral:sRNA from 1 species
CAGGCAGCCCCACCCUAGCCUCCCUCACUCCUUGUGGCAGCAUCUUCCCACAGGCCUGGUUGCCUGGUUAUCUCCUUCUCAUAGCUUCUGUCCUACUCGAUGUGCAGCCCAAGUCAAGACCGGGUGGUCUCCAUUUCCGCAGCCUCUGUCCGGCUGUGGAGGUCACGUCUGGGCCGGGUGAUGUACUCCAUGGCAAACUGUCUGCUCCUGAUGAAGGAUUAUGUGCUCGCCGUGGAGGCGUAUCACUCGGUUAUCAAGUAUUACCCAGAGCAAGAGCCCCAGCUGCUCAGCGGCAUCGGCCGGAUUUCCCUGCAGAUUGGAGACAUAAAAACAGCUGAAAAGUAUUUCCAAGACGUUGAGAAAGUAACACACAAAUUAGAUGGACUACAGGGUAAAAUCAUGGUUUUAAUGAACAGAGCGUUCCUUCACCUCGGGCAGAAUAACUUUGCAGAAGCCCACAGGUUCUUCACAGAGAUCUUAAGGA